rnacentral:pre_miRNA from 1 species
GGAAUGUAAGAACCCGUCUCUUAACUUUUAACUAAAAAAGUUAAAAACCGGUUCUUAAAACUCUUAUUUAAGAGUCGGUUCUUAGCUUUUUUAGUUAAAAGUUAAGAGACGGGUUCUUAUAUUCC